rnacentral:rRNA from 1 species
UACGGGGGGGGCAAGCGUUGUUCGGAUUCAUUGGGCGUAAAGGGUGCGUAGGCGGCGCGGUAAGUCGGAUGUGAAAUCUCGGAGCUUAACUCCGAAACUGCAUUCGAUACUGCCGUGCUUGAGGACUGGAGAGGAGACUGGAAUUUACGGUGUAGCGGUGAAAUGCGUAGAUAUCGUAAGGAAGACCAGUGGCGAAGGCGGGUCUCUGGACAGUUCCUGACGCUGAGGCACGAAGGCCAGGGGAGCAAACGGG